UGGCGGACGGGUGAGUAACGCGUGGGGAACCUGCCCUGUACAGGGGGAUAACACUUAGAAAUAGGUGCUAAUACCGCAUAAGCGCACAGUGUCGCAUGAUACAGUGUGAAAAACUCCGGUGGUACAGGAUGGACCCGCGUCUGAUUAGCUGGUUGGCGGGGUAAAGGCCCACCAAGGCGACGAUCAGUAGCCGGCCUGAGAGGGUGGACGGCCACAUUGGGACUGAGACACGGCCCAAACUCCUACGGGAGGCAGCAG
rnacentral:rRNA from 1 species